rnacentral:rRNA from 1 species
AUGGCUCUAAGGUUUGGCUUAUAUCUGGCACAAAAGGCAGGAUGCAACCAUCUGAUAAUUAACUCUGAUAAUUUGGAAGUCAUUGACACGAUGAAGAAUGGAGGACAAUUUGCGGGAACGGCGGCGACAGUUUUCAAUGACUGUUAUUUUUUGGCUUGCGACUUUCCCCUUACUAGUUUCGAACACUGUAAUAGGGAAGCAAAUAGGGUUUCCCACGAAUUAGCUAGGUUAGCUAGAGUUUCCUUGACGAAUGAGUGGUUUGAGGAGCCUAUGAACGAUAUUGUAUCUUUACUUAUAGACGAUGUGACCGUUAUUUCCAACUAA